rnacentral:rRNA from 1 species
AGACGUUCUUCGGAUCCGCAAACUCUGUUUGAAGGGAGUCAAGUGCCAGAGAACUUCCCCCCCCUUGAUCCCUCUAACCAGAAAGCCACGGCUAACUACGUGCCAGCUGCCGCGGUAAUACGUAGGUGGCAAGCGUUGUCCGGAUUUAUUGGGCGUAAAGCGAGCGCAGGCGGUUUCUUAAGUCUGAUGUGAAAGCCCUCGGCUCAACCGAGGAAGGUCAUUGGAAACUGGGGAACUUGAAUGCAGAAGAGGAGAGUGGAAUUCCAUGUGUAGCGGUGAAAUGCGUAGAUAUAUGGAGGAACACCAGUGGCGAAGGCGACUCUCUGGUCUGUAACUGACGCUGAGGCUCGAAAGCGUGGGGAGCAAACAGGAUUAGAUACCCUGGUAGUCCACGCCGUAAACGAUGAGUGCUAAGUGUUGGAGGGUUCCGCCCUUCGUGCUGCAGUUAACGCAUUAAGCACUCCGCC